AUUGAACGCUGGCGGCAGGCCUAACACAUGCAAGUCGAACGAGUGGCGGACGGGUGAGUAAUGUCUGGGAAAAUGCCCGAUGGAGGGGGAUAACUACUGGAAACGGUCGCUAAUACCGCAUACCAUCUGAUGUGCCCAGAUGGGAUUAGCUAGUAGGUGGGGUAACGGCUCACCUAAGCGACGAUCCCUCGCUGGUCUGAGAGGAUGACCAGCCAACUUGGAACUGAGACACGGUCCAGACUCCUACGGGAGGCAGCAUUGGGGAAUAUUGCACAAUGGGCGCAAGCCUGAUGCAGCCAUGCCGCUUGUAUGAAGAAGGCCUUCGGGUUGUAAAGUACUUUCAGCGAGGAGGCGUUACUCGCAGAAGAAGCACCGGCUAACUCCGUGCCAGCAGCCGCGGUAAUUC
rnacentral:rRNA from 1 species